CUCCUGACGUUGCUAUCUGCCUACUUCAGCCUCCCAAAGUGCUGGUAUUAUAGGUGUGAGCCAUCACACCUAGCCAUGCCAAAGUUUUAAUGGAAGUCUAAUAUAAGGGAAAACACCUGGGCUUGGCUUAGUUACUAUUCACAAAUAUUAAUUACUUACUUUGAGAAUAUGUGAGGGAUACACAUUGCUGUCCUCAAGGAGCUUGCAGUCUAGUUGUAAACUAUACAUAACAACACGAGAACAAAGAGAACUCUAUGAAAUGGAAAUAUCAUAGCAUAAUUACUAUCUGCCUAUAGCAUAAUUACUACUAGCCCCAUAGCAAAAUGGUGAUUUGAAUUUUUGAAAGAACACUUUCCUCUCAGAAAUGCAGAACAAAUUUAUUGACUUAGCAAACUGUUAUGGAAUACCUAAUAUAUGCCAAGAAUUGCACUAAAUACUAGGCAUACAAAGAUGGCCAAGACAUUCCUCCUGCCUUUAUUUUACUUGGAAAGAGGGAGUCUUAGAACAGAAGUCAGAAUUAGCUAUACCAAGAAGAGCAAAGGUCUUCUAGACAUAGGACAACAGCAAGUGCAAAGAGUAAAAAAAUGCUUUGUAAACUGUUUGUUACUGUUUUGAGCUCUGGAAAAGGGAUAUAAAGCUAAUAAUUUCUCUGGAAAUACUUUUAAGGACAAUAUGAUUCUAAAGGAAUAAUCAAAAGUUAGAAAGUAGGUAAAUUCAAAAGCUGUAGAAAAACAACUGUUAUAUAAAGCAGAAAGAAAGAAGAAAAUAAUAUUACCAUUUUGAAACAUUAGCUAACAUUUCAGUAAGACUGAAAAUAAAGCUAGUUUCAUGUUCAAAAGCCUAUGUAUGGAUCAUAAAGUAGAGCCAACUAGUAGCAGGAAAUGUAAGCAGGAAAUAUUAAAAGUGACAUUGGAGUGGACAGCAGGACUCCAAGAUGAUGUCAGUCGUCCCAGUGAAGGACAAGAAACUUCUGGAGGUCAAACUAGGGGAGCUGCCAAGCUGGAUCUUGAUGUGGGACUUCAGCCCUAGUGGCAUUGCCAGAACAUUUCAAAGAGGUUACUACUGGUACUAUAACAAGUACAUCAACAUGAGGAAGGGGAGCAUCUCGAGUAUUACCGUGGUGCUGGGAUGCUACAUGCUCUUCAGCUACUGCCUUUCCUACAAGGAAAUCAAGCAUGAGUGGUUACACAAGUACCACUGAAGAAGAGGACACGCUCUGCACUCCCCGCCAUGACCUUCUUGCCCAAGCCCAUCCAUAAGGAACACAAUCUCGAUCGUUGUUGAAUCCUUUCCUAUCCUAAUGGGAAUUAACCUCCAAAUAAAGGAUGACUGGAAAAAAAA